rnacentral:tRNA from 1 species
UGGUCUUAGGAACCAAAAAAUUGGUGCAACUCCAAAUAA